rnacentral:rRNA from 1 species
CCUACGGGAGGCAGCAGUGGGGGAUAUUGCACAAUGGGGGAAACCCUGAUGCAGCGACGCCGCGUGUGGGAAGACGGUCCUCUGGAUUGUAAACCACUGUCCCCAGGGACGAAGAGGACGGUACCUGGGGAGGAAGCUCCGGCUAACUACGGGCCAGCAGCCGCGGUAAUACGUAGGGGGCAAGCGUUAUCCGGAUUUACGGGGUGUAAAGGGAGCGUAGGCGGUUUAGCAAGUCAGAAGUGAAAGCCCGGGGCUCAACUCCGGGACUGCUUUUGAAACUGUUGAACUGGAUUGCAGGGGGGGUAAGUGGAAUUCCUAGUGUAGCGGUGAAAUGCGUAGAUAUUAGGAGGAACCCCAGUGGCGAAGGCGGCUUACUGGACUGUAAAUGACGCUGAGGCUCGAAAGCGUGGGGAGCAAACAGGAUUAGAUACCCAAGUAGU